rnacentral:rRNA from 1 species
AGAGGUGGCAAGCGUUGUUCGGAAUUACUGGGCGUAAAGGGCGCGUAGGCGGUCCGAUAAGUCCCACGUGAAAUCCCCCGGCUCAACUGGGGAACUGCGCGGGAAACUGACGGACUUGAGUUCCGGAGAGGGAAGCGGAAUUCCGGGUGUAGCGGUGAAAUGCGUAGAUAUCCGGAGGAACACCGGUGGCGAAGGCGGCUUCCUGGACCGACACUGACGCUGAGGCGCGAAAGCUAGGGGAGCAAACGGGAUUAGAUACCCCGGUAGUCCUAGCUGUAAACGAUGAGUGCUGGGUGUAGGGGGUGUUAACCCCUCCUGUGCCGAAGCUAACGCAUUAAGCACUCCGCCUGGGGAGUACGGUCGCAAGGCUG